AAGAGCCGUAUGACGCGAGGGUGUCAUGUACGGUUCCGUGAGCAGCCGGGGGGGGGGGAAAUUCUCUCCGGCUGACUCGAC
rnacentral:ncRNA from 1 species